GACGGACGCUGGCGGCGUGCUUAACACAUGCAAGUCGAACGGAAAGGCCUGCUUUCCCUUGUGGAUUGCGGGUACUCGAGUGGCGAACGGGUGAGUAACACGUGAGUGAUCUGCCCCCAACUUGGGUAUAAGCCUGGGAAACUGGGUCUAAUUCCCGAUAGGACUGCAGGGUGGUGCCUGUGGUGGAAAACGAUUUUCUAGUGGUUGGGGAUGAGCUCGCGGCCUAUCAGCUUGUUGGUGGGGGAAUGGCCUACCAAGGCGGCGACGGGUAGCCGGCCUGGGAGGGUGGACGGCCACAUUGGGACUGAGAGACGGCCCAGACUCCUACGGGAGGCAGCAGUGGGGAAUAUUGCACAAUGGGCGGAAGCCUGAUGCAGCGACGCCGCGUGGGGGAUGACGGCCUUCGGGUUGUAAACUCCUUUCGACCGCGAGGAAGCCACCUGGUUGGAAGGGUGGUGACGGUAGUGGUAGAAGAAGCACCGGCUAACUACGUG
rnacentral:rRNA from 1 species